rnacentral:hammerhead_ribozyme from 1 species
AUCCAGUUGACGAGUUCUGAAUAGGACGAAACGCGCAUCCUGGAU